GAUGAAGUAGCCAACACUGUUUAUAUGUAUAUAUACACACACACACAUAUAUAUAUAUAUAUAUAUAUAUAUAUAUAUAUAUAUUAAUUGGGGUAGCCCCCAAAAUAUUGGGACAUAUAAAAAAAGACAACUCUGUUCCGCAGAGUAGCUGUUGACAUUGUAGUUGCGCAGGAACUUUGUUGACUCUAGAGAACCUCGGGCAAAUCGCACAUCCCCGUGGCGGCAACUUUGCAUGCGGAUGUCAUCCAUAUCAAUUUUUGAUGCCAGUUUCUGUGCCUACCAUGGUGACCACGGGUAACGGGGAAUCAGGAUUCCAUUCCGUACAGGGACACUAAGAAACGGCUACCACAUGCAAGGAAGGCAGCAGGCACGCAUAUGACCCACUCCUGAUGCGGGAAGGUAGUGAC